rnacentral:lncRNA from 1 species
GAAAUUAAAAAAAGAGAAAAAAACUGGAGCGCAUGAUCCAACCUCAUUAAUUGACGUGGACCAUCAUGUGGCUCAGAUACGCGCGCUCACCAUGCACACUAGUCAAACGCAUUGCAAAAUGUUUUAAAAUAAGUCAAAUAAGGCAAUGGCUCAGAUUAGAUCAUAUCACUUGAAUCCAAUGACCAAAGAGCUUCCACGUAAGGGACGGUGGUGGAAACCACCGUCUUCUCCGAUGAGCCAACAAAUUCCGGCCACCAGUUGCAGGUUUUGCAACCUC